rnacentral:rRNA from 1 species
UACGGGGGGGGCAAGCGUUGUUCGGAAUUACUGGGCGUAAAGGGCUCGUAGGCGGCCAACUAAGUCAGACGUGAAAUCCCUCGGCUUAACCGGGGAACUGCAUCUGAUACUGGAUGGCUUGAGUUCGGGAGAGGGAUGCGGAAUUCCAGGUGUAGUGGUGAAAUGCGUAGAGAUGCGGAGGAACACCAGUGGCGAAAGCGACUUUCUGGUCCUUAACUGACGCUGAGGCGCGAAAGCAUGGGGAGCGAACGGG